GGUGAUGCCAUGUAAUCUUUGAGAGCUGAUUGUCCAAUCUGAUGACAAAAAUAAGCAUAUUUUCUGAGGAC